rnacentral:rRNA from 1 species
AUUGAACGCUGGCGGCAUGCUUUACACAUGCAAGUCGAACGGUAACAGGGAGCUUGCUCCGCUGACGAGUGGCGAACGGGUGAGUAAUGCAUCGGAACGUGCCGUGUAAUGGGGGAUAACGUAGCGAAAGUUACGCUAAUACCGCAUACGCCCUGAGGGGGAAAGUGGGGGACCGCAAGGCCUCACGUUAUACGAGCGGCCGAUGUCGGAUUAGCUAGUUGGUGGGGUAAAGGCCUACCAAGGCGACGAUCCGUAGCGGGUCUGAGAGGAUGAUCCGCCACACUGGGACUGAGACACGGCCCAGACUCCUACGGGAGGCAGCAGUGGGGAAUUUUGGACAAUGGGCGAAAGCCUGAUCCAGCCAUGCCGCGUGCAGGAUGAAGGCCUUCGGGUUGUAAACUGCUUUUGUACGGAACGAAAGACUCCUUCUAAUAAAGGGGUCCAUGACGGUACCGUAAGAAUAAGCACCGGCUAACUACGUG